CAAUAGCGUAUAUUUAAGUUGCUGCAGUUAAAAAGCUCGUAGUUGGAUUUCGGGUGGGAAUGGCCGGUCCGCCGUUUCGGUAUGCACUUGCUACGCCCACCUUGCUGCCGGGGACGUGCUCUUGAGUUCACGCUCGGGACACGGAGUCGGCGAGGUUACUUUGAGUAAAUUAGAGUGUUCAAAGCAGGCCUACGCUCUGAAUACAUUAGCAUGGAAUAACACGAUAGGACUCUGGCCUAUCUUGUUGGUCUGUAGGACCGGAGUAAUGAUUAAGAGGGACAGUCGGGGGCAUUCGUAUUUCAUUGUCAGAGGUGAAAUUCUUGGAUUUAUGAAAGACGAACUACUGCGAAAGCAUUUGCCAAGGAUGUUUUCAUUAA
rnacentral:rRNA from 1 species